AUCAUUAAUUAUGUUAAAGCGCCUUACCUUAGGGUUUCCUCUGGGGUAAGUGAUUGCUUCUACACUGUGAAAAUUUGGCUGAGAGACUCAGACUGGUCAUGGGUAGACCUAUCUGGGGUUUGAUCGAUGCCACUCCUGGUUUCAGGAGCACCCUUCAUAAUAAACCUAGAAAUUCAGUAUUAUAAAGUUUAAUAAAAAACAACUUUUAACAAUGGAUCUCUUGGUUCUCGCAUCGAUGAAGAACGUAGCAAAGUGCGAUAACUAGUGUGAAUUGCAUAUUCAGUGAAUCAUCGAGUCUUUGAACGCAGCUUGCACUCUAUGGUUUUUCUAUAGAGUACGCCUGCUUCAGUAUCAUCACAAACCCACACAUAACAUUUGUUUAUGUGGUAAUGGGUCGCAUCGCUGUUUUAUUACAGUGAGCACCUAAAAUGUGUGUGAUUUUCUGUCUGGCUUGCUAGGCAGGAAUAUUACGCUGGUCUCAGGAUCUUUUUCUUUGGUUCGCCCAGGAAGUAAAGUACAAGAGUAUAAUCCAGCAACUUUCAAACUAUGAUCUGAAGUCAGGUGGGAUUACCCGCUGAACUUAAGCAUAUCAAUAAGCGGAGGAAAAGAAAAUAACAAUGAUUUCCCUAGUAACGGCGAGUGAAGAGGAAA
rnacentral:rRNA from 1 species